rnacentral:rRNA from 1 species
UUGAACGCUGGCGGCAGGCCUAACACAUGCAAGUCGAGCGGCAGCGGGAAAGUAGCUUGCUACUUUUGCCGGCGAGCGGCGGACGGGUGAGUAAUGCCUGGGAAAUUGCCCAGUCGAGGGGGAUAACAGUUGGAAACGACUGCUAAUACCGCAUACGCCCUACGGGGGAAAGCAGGGGACCUUCGGGCCUUGCGCGAUUGGAUAUGCCCAGGUGGGAUUAGCUAGUUGGUGAGGUAAUGGCUCACCAAGGCGACGAUCCCUAGCUGGUCUGAGAGGAUGAUCAGCCACACUGGAACUGAGACACGGUCCAGACUCCUACGGGAGGCAGCAGUGGGGAAUAUUGCACAAUGGGGGAAACCCUGAUGCAGCCAUGCCGCGUGUGUGAAGAAGGCCUUCGGGUUGUAAAGCACUUUCAGCGAGGAGGAAAGGUUGAUGCCUAAUACGUAUCAACUGUGACGUUACUCGCAGAAGAAGCACCGGCUAACUCCGU